CCUGCCUAAUCGAGCCCCCCUGACCCGUCCUGACCAGCCCGCUCCACCGGGCCCUGCUGACCCGGCCUGCCCGAGCGCCGCUGCCCGGGCCUCCCCCGCCCCGCACUGGCAGCGCAGCCCAUGUGCUGUCCGGUAUCUACCCACACUCUGCUUCUUUUGGAAAAGGGAUGCCUGAGAUGGGACCUCAUCCAUGUCCGUCUGAAUGGAGGGUGGCAGGAGGACAGAGCCAGGCUCUGGUGAGCGGUGCCAAGCAAUGAGAGGCAACAAGCAGAAACAGAAAUAUUCAGUGUAAAAUAUUAUACAUAUUCUUUUCCUGGGGAAUUGAACCAGGAGGAUGUGUUGGCAAGCCUAUUUGGCAGUGUUAUUUUAAAUGAUGGUGUCUCUGGAUGCUUGAGGAAGGAUGACCUGAAGGAAGGCAGCUGGCUGGAAGAUACUGUUCGUGCUCUUUGGUCAAGGAUUGGUGUCAACAUGAUCUUGUUGGCAGAAGGUUGAAGCCACUGCUGUCCAGAAAGAAUAUGAAGAAUGUUUCCUCCAUGGGAGAAUCUUCAUUAUCUGAAAAGGCUAUUAAUGCACUGUAAGAGGAUAGCGCUGACCUUGCAAAACAAGGGGAGAAAAUUUUCCAUGACUCUACAUACAGGCAACAGUGAGAGAUACAGAGGGAGGAGAGGAUGAAACAGAAAAUAUAGCACUUGUCAUGGUGGAAAACUGUUAAAGCAGACCAUGUUUAGAAUAAAGCAGAAGUGAUAAUCAUUGUUAUUCUUUUAUGAAGGAAGGGAAACUCUUCAUUUGAUAAAACUAAUGGUGAAGUUCUCUGUUAAGGCUUGUUAAUUGAGUACUGCUGAAUGCUUGCAUAUAGGAAGGCAUUCCUGUCACUGUGUCUGCUUAGAGGCACAAGUUGCUGCCAAACUGAAACCUUAGCCAUGUUUGGCUAUAUCUUGUGAGCUCUGGCAGACAUGUAUUUUUUUCUAUUAACAAUCUUCAGCUUUUCACAUCUUGUAGCUGAUACUGAAAAAUAUUAAUAGAAGAGAAACUCUUGUCACUAAAAUGAAAUCAAUGCAUUACAAAAACAUUCUAUGAAAUUCCUUCUGCUUUGAGAAACAGGC